rnacentral:rRNA from 1 species
CCAGCAGCCGCGGUAAUUCCAGCUCCAAUAGCGUAUACUAAAGUUGUUGCAGUUAAAAAGCUCGUAGUUGGAUUUCUGGUUGCAGAUACCGGUCCGCUCCUAACGGAGUGUGUACCAGGUAUUUGUGUCCAUCCUCGGGGAGAGCAUCCUUGGCAUUCAGUUGUCGAGAAUGGGAUCCCCGUCAUUUACUGUGAGCAAAAUAGAGUGUUCAAAGCAGGCUUAGGCCGUUGAAUACAUUAGCAUGGAAUAAUAAGAUAGGACCUUGGUCUAUUUUGUUGGUUUGCACUCCAAGGUAAUGAUUAAUAGGGAUAGUUGGGGGUAUUCGUAUUCAAUUGUCAGAGGUGAAAUUCUUGGAUUUAUGGAAGACGAA